UAUGAGAGAUUCCUCAAAAAUGGGCAGAAUUUCUUACUUCACAAGCAGCUGUAACUGUCAUAUUUCAUACUUGUGGUGGCUAGGUGACGAUUAAGCACAUCAGAGUGGGUGUAACUAUUAGCCUGGUCCUGGUGAGGUGAACCGACCCUCUGGCCUGACCGCCAGCAAGUCAACCCAGCUCAGCGAAGGAAGCGGGGCACUUACUCGGGAGGGUGGUGGCAUGCGACAGGAUUACAGAUGCUGCAAAGCAAGAAGGACCCUAUUUCCAGAAAUGAGAAGGCACCUAGAGGGUGCAAUCAGUUGGGCUGCCGGAAGCGGAGUUUAUCCAGUACACGGAACUGAUGUGGGCCUACAGGUGAGAUGAGCAGGAUGGACAGAGAGACGCCACUGAGCUCAGCUGGGAGACACAUGGCUGAUUUCCCUGGAGCCGUGGGGCACAUACACACGGAGGCAAGAUUAACAUUAGCAAACCCAUUCAUGUCUAUGUCUUUUUGCUUGUUUCUGCAAUGAACUGAAUGCUUAUAUCCUCCCCCACAAUUCAUAUUCGUUUCAGUCCCAACCCGCAAGGUGACGGUAUGAAGACGCAGAGCCUUGGGGAGGUGACGAAGUCACGAGAGUGGCCAUGCUGUGUCUGUCCCAGCAGCCCGAAAUGACUCCGGCAAGAACUAGUGGCGAGAGUCGGGCACUGGUCUGUCAAAUGCCCGAAAAUGCGGAAGCAGCUUUGAAGUAGUUAAAGAAGAGGGACUGGGAGAGGUUCGAGAUGGCCCUGCGGGGCCCAGGAAGAGAGAGUCUGGCGAGCACUGGGAGAGAGCCGAGAGCCGAGAGGAGGCCUCCGUCUUCCAAGAAAACAUGCAAGGAAUCCCGACAGAAUGUCAGCAAGAAUGUGGGCGGAUGGCAAGGGCCUUCUGACGAGGUCUCAGAGGGAAUCGAGGAAACUGUUACUAGAAACUGGAGGAAAGCUGUUCCUGGUGAUCAAGCAGCAAAGCUUCCCUCCCCACCCACAACCCCCCCACAACUCCGACCGGGGUUGGUGCCCUGGUGUCUCCAGGAAGGCAGAACUUCCUCAAGGAAAGCAGAAGCAGGGUUUCGUGCUUUGAAGGAGAGCUCUCAGAAAGAACUUGGAAGGAAAAAGGAAGCAAAACAGCCAAGAGGAAGAAACCAAGCCAGAAUGUCUAGCUUUGGCCUCAUCCCAUGGGGAGAUCUGGAGCAACACAGUUUAAGCCCUAUCUCCACAUCAGGGAGCCAGCCCUUUGUACCCCAACAGAGCCAGCCCUUGGGUGUAAGCCACUCCCAGGAGUGUAUAUAAAUAACCUCCUGAGCCAAGGGGCUCCCUUGGGCUGAGGACACUUCUCUGGAGAAGAAAGCAGCUGUGCCAGGAAAAACCAACAUUCACAGAAACAGUGGGGGAAAAGGUACCAGCCUGAAAGGGAGACCUGGGUGGGACACCAACAUCUUCUGCAGUGUCUACUCUGCACUGUGGAGAACCUUUUGCUUUCUUGUAUUAAAUGCCCUCCAUCCAGGCACAGCUUCUCUAUAAUUCUGAUUGGUCGCAAGAAUACAUGUUGAUUUCAGGACCAUAACGGAGACUCAUCAUCUUCCUCAUCCAUCAACCUUAUUAGGUCUUUCUCUUCCUCUGACAGUACUUACUGCUGGUGGUGUAGAUUAGAUGUCUUGCCUACUGUUUCUGACCUAUUUUCAAGGAGGCCGAUCCCAUGGUGGGCAUGCCCUUAUCAGGACAAAAUUAUUCCCCUUCCCCUCAAACUACCUUAAGGGGACUUGAUGCCCAGUGGGUCAUCUGUCUGUCAAACACAUUUCUUCCUUUCUCUCAUUAUGUAGCAGCAGCCCAACUUCCCCAAAAUGAUCAGGGUCAAUAGCCCAGCCUUUAUGGUGACUACUUGUUUUGACUACAGGUUUGCUGGGACAAAGAUCCUAAGUGACAAACAUUAGCCAUAGCUUUAAGUGUAGUGGGACUCUUGUGCCCCUGUUUGAAGUGUGAGACCUACAGAGCCUAAAGUCAUUAGGGCAGAAGCAGAUUGCUGUACUGGGACAUUGAAAAUGACAGUGAAUGAGAUCAUUCCUCUUUCUACCACAUCUGCUUCCUGCUUACUACUUAUCAAAAUCAUUUGAUACCCACUGUUCUAAGGUACAUACCAGAACAGUGGUGUUCUCUCCAAGGUGGUAACUCAACCAGUGCUCCAAGUGACUGUUCUGUGUUCUCUAUCAGGCUAGUAGAACUAGAUCUUGAGAUAGGUGGUAGUACCAGUGACACCGCAGUUACAUAUCCAUAGCCACACCUACUUUCCCAUAUAAUUGGUCCCUUAGUCUGAGCUAGUAUCAGUCAUUCCUCAGAAGCCUCCCAGAGUACUGGGUGGGGAUAACCCCCUGAGCAGAGCUUGAGCCAUUAGCAAUGAGUAUACCAACCCACUGGAAGAUAGGUACAAAGGCCCAAUAAAACAGAUCUGAGCAAGAAACUAAGAUGUGUAUGACUUCUAUAAUUAGAAAAAUAGCCAUAAAGAUAAAAGAAAGAUUUUAUAUUCAGCUACAUUUUAAAAUGCUGUACAUUCCAAAUGCUUUAAAGUUUAAAAUGUGUACUGUCUCCAUUUAUUUAUUAAUUCAAUGAUUUAUUUAUAUUUUCAUGAACUUACAGAUAUUUAUUUUAUACUUCGGGUUAUAAUUCAACUAAAUUAAUCAUUAUAUUUUAUACUUUGGGUUACAAUCCAAAUAAAUUAUUCAUAUUUUUUUCUCAAAUUGUUCUAGAUUUGGCCAUUAGGAAAUUUUCAGUUGGUCCCUGUGCUUCUUUGGAAUGCUACCAUAGAUAUGGGUGCUCACUUUAGUUUUUUUGAGUUAGCAUAUUUAUUUUUAUUGAGAUAUAAUUCACAUAACAAAAUUUACCAUUUUACAAUGUACCCUUGAGUAUUUUUUAGUACAUUCACUCUACUGUGAAACCAUCACCUCUAAUUCCAGAACAUUCUGUUACCUCCAAAAUAAAUCCCAAAAUAAUUGACAAGCCAACAUUUCCCCCUUCCCCCAGCCCCUGACAACCACUAAUCUAUUGAUUUGCCUAUUCUGGAUGUUUUAUAUAAAUGGAAGCAAACACAAAGUAGCCUUUUGUGUGUAAUUUCUUUUAUUUAGCGUAAUGUUUUCCAGGUUCAACCAUAUUGUAUCAUGUAUCAGAGCUUCAUUCCUUUUUAUGGCUCAGUAAUAUUCUAUUGUAUGGCUGUAUCAUAUUUUGUUUACUCACUCAGCCCCCAGUGGACAUUUAUGUUAUCUCUACUUUUGAGCUGGUAUUAAAAAUAAAAACAUUGUUAUGAACAUUUUUGUGCAGGCUUUUGUUUGUGCAGGUGUUUUCAACUCUUGGGUAUAUACCUAAAAGUGGAAUUUCUGGUAACCCUAUGUUUAAUUUUUGAGGAAUGAGAAUAUAACUUUAAGUCUAUUAAAUACAUCAUUCAGCACUAUUUUUCCACUGUCAUGUGUCAUUUAUAACCUUCUUGCCAAAGAAAAUUUGAGACAGUUCUGAGUAUAGAGAUGUACAAUAUAAUAGUUAUUUUUAAAAAUUAGUGUAGUAAAAAAAUCACAAGAUAUGCAAUGUAUGCAUAAGUAGUUCUUAAUCUCUUGGGGCCAUGGGUCCCUUUGAGAGGCAAAUGGAAGCCAUGGAGCUAGCUUAAGAGAAUCUGAUAUUCAAGAUGGCGAGGCCCUUAUGUCUUCAACAUGGGAUAAGAUGGAUUCAGUAAAUGAGUGUUACAUUUGAUUUGGAAGCUUCUGGGAGCCAGAACUCCUCCCACUAUGGAAAGGAGAUCCUAGUCUCCCUCAUUCCUUAUUUCACAACUGUCACCCGACUAUAAAUCUACACUAGAAUUUAGCAGAGCAGAAAACAGAAC
ensembl:lincRNA